UUUUCUAAAAUUCAUUUUCUGAUUCAGAUCUACAUUUUUUAACUUUUCUAGACCAGGUAACCAUUUUAUUUAGUUGGAUUUUAAAAUUUGGAUAAUCCAAUUCGGCAUCUGGAUCAUGUUCAGAUCCAAAUAAAUCUGAACUAAUUCAUUAAGUUCUUCCCAGUACCAAAAUUUGAAAUUCAUAAAUCCCGGAAGUCCUUCCGGUACAAUCAAUCUUAAAUCAUUUUCUCACUUCUUUCUUUAUACUUUAUCAAGAACGUUGUGGUGCCAUGAUUCUCGUUCGGUUCAUCAGGAUUUUGUUGGAGAAAACGUACGAAGCCACUACUGAGCUAGUGAAUGUGGCGGGAUUCGCUGGAGAUUAAGAUUAAGGUUAAGUUACUACGCGUGUUGGAAAGAGGUUGAUCGUUGAUGUACAUAUUGGGAAAGGGGACACUUGGAAUCAUCAAAGUGGGUACAACUUGAGGAGCCGAAUAUACCUCAACCUGAUAAGGCGAAAUAGCCAAUCAUGACACACACCAAUGUGCUAGUCCGAAUAUACUCCAACCUAAGAGGUUCAUAGCGCACGCACAUGUCAGGAAAGUAAUAUGAAGACAGGCGAGGAUGUCGUGAUGACUGAGGAAUAGGCCUUAAUGACCUCGACACUAGGGCAGAGGACACUUCUGCUGAAUGAACUAAUAAUAAGUGCUCUGAAUGGAAUGGUAAGAAAGGAAUUAGGAUUAAUUAAGCAUAGUUAGUAAAGCCUAAAACUAACUAAAUAGUGCAAACCCUAGGCCCAUAGGGUUUGGCCCAUUAAAGUAGUAUAAAAGGCAUUAUUCACGAGGUAAAAUGACUAUGCUAUUUUUUACUAUUACUAUCAUUUAUUGCUCUGAUACUGACUUGAGCAUCGGAGUGGCUUUGCAGGCCUCCCGCCAACGAAACUCUUCAUCGGAAGGAGAUACUCAGGUUCCUGAAAGGAGAUACUCAGGCUCUUGGGAGGAGAUAUUUAGGCUCCUGGACUUAGAAACUUAAGCGAAGAAGGUGGACGUGUGCAUUUAAAAGGUUCAUUGGUCCCUACAUAACUUGUGUUCGCGGGUACAUUUGUAUUCGGUAGGAACAAUUGAUAUUUAAUUUGUGUUCUCUAUAGUUUUGUGAAAACUAUAAUGAAUUUAUAUGAGAACUAAUCAUUGAGAAGUUGUGUAAGUGGGAAAUAGUUGGUCUAAAGUUCUUCGGAUAAACCAUCUUAGUGAUUAUGUAGACAAACAUGUUAGAUUUAACCCUUCUAAUGAAAGAGACGUGUUUUCAAAUCAACAUGCAAAUUUUUUUCACAUACUUAUAUAUAGGUGUCUUUAACUCACAUUUUUACAUAUUACUUAUGAUUGGAUUAAGACAGUGAAAAUUUAGGAUUAAGUAUCACUCUUUUAUACAAAAUAUAGAUCACCAUAGGAUUGGAUUUUCUAAUUCUUAUUUUGUUGGGAUUAGUUAUGAAUGCGUAAUCUUGUGUUUCCCUUCUUUACUUUUCACUUAUGAUAAUCUUUUAUCUAAUUCGAUCUCCAUUUCUUUUUGUUGCAUAAAUAGUCAUGUGCAUCUUCAAAGACAUCUUUUGGGACAAUAAUGCAUAUUUUACUUUUUAACUCACGUUAUAUGCCUCGGUUGUCCAAGAACCAAAGCAUAUAAUGGCACGGUGGCAAUUUUGCGAUUCCAAGCUACUUUUAUGCCUCGAUUCAGAGAAAACCCGAAGUAAAAGAGGGUUAUAGGCUUCGGUUCACUAAAAAUCGGUGCCAAACGCCAUUAUAUGCUUCUGUUCCAAAGACCUGAAGCAAAAAACGUGGCUGAAUAUUUCAAAAAUGCCACUAGCCAUUACGUCUUUGGCCUCGGGUGAAACUCAACCUGUACCAAAUAGGGUCAUAUGCCUCGGUUAUUAAUUGGGAAAUGGUAAUAUAUAUUUGAAUUAAAACAAAUACUUUGCAAUGUACUAAAGUUUGGUGUACUAAAUUUGUCUUUCUAUAUACUAACUUAAGUUAAUGU